rfam:Triticum urartu cultivar G1812 contig73185, whole genome shotgun sequence.
AUACCUUUCUCGGUCUUUUCGCUAAGAUCAAAUGUAGUAUCUAUUGUUAUCAGUUUAAUAUCUGAUAUGUGGGAUACAUCCUUACAAUGAUAUUAAAUUUAUUUUUUAUAAAGGUGGGUCCAUCAUAGUAGCUUGCUGCUGGGGUCCAUACGUGUUGCUUGGGCGUUGCACUGCUGCCCUGGCCCGGUGCACCCCAA